GUUGUGGGUGGUUUUGAGAGCUGAAGGAGAAGAGGGGGAGAUCCCCUGUCAUACUUUUGCAGAAGUCCCAGCAUCCCCCCCACCGGUGUUCCUAGAAUCAUCUCAGGACCAGGAUAGCUCAGAAGGGAAACCCAGUCCCCACUCCAGCUCAUGAGGAGGCAGGCAGAGUCCCACCCUAGCCCCCAUGCACCCCCACCCAAACUCCCAGGGAUGGACCCAGACCCAAGCCUUGUCUGUUGCCUGUCCACCCUCAGGGUUCGCUAAGAUGAGAAGUACCCCUUUUCCCCAGCAGGGGGGCUCAGCCUCAUUGUCCUCCCUCACACUAUCCCACAAGCUGACUCUUCUGCCCUGGGCCCUCUGUGCAGGGGUGGGGGUGGGGGGUUGGCCACAGGCCUGACAGAGGGGAAUUGGGGUGGAGGGAGCUGCUCGUUCUGGUUGCCUCAGAGGCAGCUGGGGUGGGGGGGGUGGAUGUAGGAGAGGAGGAAGGGACAGGAGCUGGCUGGCCCUGCAUGGAGUAAAGGACCCGUGAGAACACAGAAACCCGGGGUCAGGUGGCGCGGGGCUUUUAGGAACAGAAUGUCUCUUGAGCUACUUUCCGUGGUGUGCUUGUCAUCAGGUAGAAAUAAAGGCAACGGCUGCAAGAAAUCAGCAGAAGCAGGACAGUGGCCAUGAGAACAUCCGCCCUGAGGACCCGCAGGAAUCUCCAGGAGGCCUUUGCACGGCCAUGGCCACAGGGUUGACACAUACCUGUCUCAGUCUCCAGGGGCCGAGACGGCAGGUGGACACUGGGUUACAUCUGGGGGCCCACACGAUCCUUCUCUGUGCUGAGAUUCUCCAAGUGUGGUCCCCGGACCAGCAGCAUCUGGAAACUGGUGGCCGAGGAUGAGCUGGAGGCACUUGCCCACCUGCUCCUCAGCCUCUUUCUCUUGUCUCUGAAACUCCGCCCCCACCGUGAGGAAAGCUGGAGGCUCAAGUGACUGUUUGGGACCAGGCUGACUCAGAGGCUGAUGGGGCUGGGAGGACCACAGAUCCCUCUGGGGAAGAAAACAAACAGCACCCAGAUCACCAUGAUGCUCGUUAAAAAGAAGAAUAGAAAGAUGAUCUUUGGAGAGUGGGAUUGUAGGUGACUUUUUUUUUAAUCUGAAUUUUUACACUUUCUACCAGUUGAUAAUGUAUCACUUCCUAUUUAAAAGGAAGUUUUAUUUUUAUUAUGUAUAAAAAGAAGGAAGAGGGGCCAGAACUCCGUCCUCUCCAGCUGGUUGGCUUCCACUGGUACCGAUUUUAGCCAAAAUAGUCAUAAUGAUGGCUGGACCCUGGGAGACUGUUGAUAGCGUGCUGGCCCCUUUCUCGGUGCUUUAUAUGACGUGAAUUAACUCAUUUAAUCCUUACUAGCCUGGCCAAGGUCAGGAAGCAGAGGAGUGUCAAGCUGGAGUCCAGCCUCUCAACUCUGUACUAUGUUGCUUUUCUAGAAAUUGUUUCCAGGUGCCCUGUGGACGAAAGGCCUGUCCUUCGCUCCCUCGCUCCACAGUAAAAACGGCCUCUGUUCUGUGCUGUGCAGGAUCACUCAGGUCGGGGGCUGGGGAGCCGGGGGAGGAGACAGAGAAGAUGGUCAGGAGCAUCCAGCAGUGGUUCGAAUCCUCAGAAGCCCACACAGAACUCAUUCUUGCAGGGGUCUGUCCACAGAACCAGCAGCCUCGCCCCCAAGCUCCUGGGGCAUCCGUGAUCCGUGUGAGUAGAGAAGGGUGGCUCUUCCAGGCUGUAGACAUCUGAGCAUUAUGAUGAAAAAUUUGUGACUUCAAAUUUUUCUGCCACAUACAUACCAGGUGUGACACCUUUGGCAAGUACCCUCCCUUUGUGAGGCUCGGUGCCUUCUCUGGUAAAAUGAACAUCUAUACCAGAAAAGGCAUGAUAUUAGUAAAGCUCUUAGCACAGUGCCUGGCACAUGGUGAACACUUAUUCAAAUGACGGUUAUUAUUUUUCAACAAGCAUUUCCUGAGCAUCUUCUUUGUGCCCAGCACUGUGCCCACAGCAAAUUUCCCUGGAGGUGCUGGAGCCCAGCAAUUGCUCCAGGUUCCAAAUACCUGCAGACAAAACACUUCAGCAGAAAGAAGAAGCCAGGGGCGCCUGGGUGGCUCAGUCGUUAAGCGUCUGCCUUCGGCUCAGGUCAUGAUCCCAGGGUCCUGGGAUCGAGCCCCGCAUCGGGCUCCCUGCUCAGCGGGAAGCCUGCUUCUCCCUCUCCCACUCCCCCUGCUUGUAUUCCCUCUCUCACUGUGUCUCUCUCUGUCAAAUAAAUAAAUAAAAUCUUUAAAAAAAAAAAAAAAGAAAGAAAGAAGAAGCCAGAGCUAGAAACCCUUAACAUGUCCACAGAGCACAAGAUGGGGUUUGAGCAGAACUUUAGUCUUAGGGGGCACCCCGGCUGACAUGUAGUUUAGAGACGUCAAGAAGACAUGUACACUUUCUUCCUGGCUGGCAGAGGUCUGAAUUUUCAAGGUUUUGGGGGGUGAUGUACCCCGGUCUGGGGAGAAGGAGGGUGUGGUAAGUUGUGUCUGGUCUCAGCUAAGCACAUAUGGUUCUCCUAUUCCCUUUUGCUGGCACUGAACUCACUCAGAGUCAGUCAGGGAGUAAGCAGGCAAGGCUAAUCUCUCAAUCCGUGUGGUUUGGGGGUGGGUGUGUGACAACCAAGGAGUAGUAGGACCUACCUCACAGGAUUGUUGGAAGAAUUCAACUCAUGGUUACAUGAGAAGUGCUUAGAAUGGUGAAAGGCAUUCAGUACGUAUACAAUUGAUGUUAGCUGAUUUUAUCUUUCACUUCCACCACCCUCUCCCUCUGUUUCAGCUCCUUUGGACACUCUUUCUGUGCCUUAAACCACCAUUUACCAACACUCAAAUAAAUAUCUACAUUUUCUCUCCUCCCUUCUAGCACACCUAGCCUUAUGACCAGUGGAACAACUUUCAGGAACUACCCUUAAGUGGAAAGAUUGUGCCUUUCUCCUCCUCUUUCCUGCUAGAUGAAACAUAGGCAUGAUGGCUGGAGCUGGAGCAGCCAUUUUGGACCAUCAGGCAAAAGCCAAAUGUGGAGGAUUUUGGAGCAAAAAUCUAGGUCCUUAAUGAUUGUGGUACCACCAUACCAUCUUGGACUUACAUUUCCAGACAUUCACAUGACAAAAGUUUAAGUAAACUUCUGUCUUAUUUAGACCCCCUUUUUAAUUUUUUUUAAAGAUUUUAUUUAUUUUUUUAAGUAAAGUCUACAGUCUACACCCAACUAGGCUUGAACUCAUGACCCCGAGAUCAAGGGUCGCACCAGCCAAGUUCCCCAAGACCCCUGUUAUUUUGGAUAUCCAUCACUCCUAACUGAAGUGAUUCCAAACUCACACAGGAACAGAACUGGGAUUUGGAUCCAGGCUUGCCUGACCCCGAGGCACUCCACAAAUAUAGAUGGCAGAAUACCUGAAUCAGAAUCAUAGGGUGGGGAGCUUGGGUAGAAUACAGGGUUCCAAGUCCCACUUCAGUCCUGCUGAUUUAGGCUCUCUAGAGUUGGGGCCUGGGCAAUUCUAUUUUAAGCAAGCUGCUCACCCAGAGGCUUCUGACAUACGCUCAAGUGGGAACACAGCCUAUCAUUCUCCUUCUUCUUGCAAGUCUUAAGAAAAUCAGGAGUCCAUUCUGAACCUUUGGGUGGAAGUAAAGGCAGGUAGAACUCAGGGGCCUAACACAACAGGGAGGAGGGGGCUUGAGAGGAGGGGUCAAGAGUCUGGCCUUCCGGGAAUCCGCAUCCCCCCCGCCCCCCGAGGCAGAUGGUGUGCAGGUCUCUCCCUGGAAGCAGCUGUGUCCCCUAGGGUCUUGGAUGGUGGUGGGGGGGGGAGGCCAGCUGCUCUUACACAUGGCAGUUGCUCCAAAGCUGGAGUCCUCUGAAAUCCGAGUGUCUAUGGCAUAUUGAGAGCUCUCAUGGAGCCUGGGACAAGCCCCAGGAGGCAAAUCUCAGCUCAGGAGCCAGGAUUUUAGUGCAAAGCGGUGCCCUCUUUGGCAAGCCACUAUUCUCCUUCUGAGAAACAGCUCAGGCCUUUCAUAAGCUGUUGGGGCCCAGGGGGAGACUGAAAGCCUGACACGAGGCACCUGGGGACCAUGUGAUGAGAGCUGAGUGCUGUCUGACCUUGCCACAAAGUCAGGUGCGCCCAGCAGCAUCUGUCGUCAAGGGGAGAAGGCACACAUGGGAGAAGGGCUGGGCCCAGGCACGUCCUGAAGCCUGGGCGAGCCGCUGAGCAGGCAUCUCAUUCCGCAGGGUCCCUUCCCGGGCUUCCAGCCACCCCUCCCUUCCCUCACACCUCAGCCGCAGGUCCCACGACCAGUUGCCCAAAGAUCGAACGCUCGCUUGAGCCCGGGCCAAGCAGAGAGCUCGGGGGACCCGGGCAGCAAUACUCAGUGAAGGCUGGGGCUCACAGGCAGAGUGCCAGUGGGCAUGGGGUCCCUGUGUGAGGCUGAAGACACCAGGGGCAGAGGGACCCUGUUCCCCUGCCAUGUUCUCCCUUUCCAAAGGCGAAUAUGAGAAUGACCUUGGGGGCGAUGGAGUGAGGGGAAUGAACGCUAAGCAAUGGGUACUUAAGUGUCAGCUAUCUGGGAAAGUGAUGGCCUGGAAG